CUACGGGGCGCACCAGUGGGGAAUAUUGCACAAUGGGCGAAAGCCUGAUGCAGCAACGCCGCGUGAGGGACGACGGCCUUCGGGUUGUAAACCUCUUUUAGCAGGGAAGAAGCGAAAGUGACGGUACCUGCAGAAAAAGCACCGGCUAACUACGUGCCAGCAGCCGCGGUAAUACGUAGGGUGCAAGCGUUGUCCGGAAUUAUUGGGCGUAAAGAGCUCGUAGGCGGUUUGUCGCGUCUGCUGUGAAAAUCCGAGGCUCAACCUCGGACCUGCAGUGGGUACGGGCAAACUAGAGUGCGGUAGGGGAGAUUGGAAUUCCUGGUGUAGCGGUGGAAUGCGCAGAUAUCAGGAGGAACACCAAUGGCGAAGGCAGAUCUCUGGGCCGUAACUGACGCUGAGGAGCGAAAGCGUGGGGAGCGAACAGGAUUAGAUACCCCUGUAGUC
rnacentral:rRNA from 1 species